AGAGUUUGAUCAUGGCUCAGAUUGAACGCUGGCGGCAGGCCUAACACAUGCAAGUCGAACGGUAACAGGAAACAGCUUGCUGUUUCGCUGACGAGUGGCGGACGGGUGAGUAAUGUCUGGGAAACUGCCUGAUGGAGGGGGAUAACUACUGGAAACGGUAGCUAAUACCGCAUAACGUCGCAAGACCAAAGAGGGGGACCUUCGGGCCUCUUGCCAUCGGAUGUGCCCAGAUGGGAUUAGCUUGUUGGUGGGGUAACGGCUCACCAAGGCGACGAUCCCUAGCUGGUCUGAGAGGAUGACCAGCCACACUGGAACUGAGACACGGUCCAGACUCCUACGGGAGGCAGCAGUGGGGAAUAUUGCACAAUGGGCGCAAGCCUGAUGCAGCCAUGCCGCGUGUAUGAAGAAGGCCUUCGGGUUGUAAAGUACUUUCAGCGGGGAGGAAGGGAGUAAAGUUAAUACCUUUGCUCAUUGACGUUACCCGCAGAAGAAGCACCGG
rnacentral:rRNA from 1 species